GCUUACGGCCAUACCACCCUGAGAACGCCCGAUCUCGUCUGAUCUCGGAAGCUAAGCAGGGUCGGGCCUGGUUAGUACUUGGAGGGGAGACCGCCUGGGAAUACCAGGUGCUGUAAGCU
rnacentral:rRNA from 1 species